rnacentral:rRNA from 1 species
AUGUAUGAAGCUGCUGACAUCCUCGACCUUUGUCAUCUCAACGUCAUGGAGAGUGGAACAUUACAUAAUCCCUCCCAUGCUCAUGACAUCAGCACCCGCAUCAAGGCGCUCAACCAGAGGCUUGACACCAUCAAGGAGCAGAGUGUUGCCUUUGGCUUCAUCAAUCUUGGGUCCAAUGAGUAUCAUAGCAGUCAUAUGAACUUCUCUCAUCGUGGUAAUCCUAGCUGGGAGAUGUCGGGGGAUCCCGACCGGUUCGGUGUGGUUGGAGAGAAGAUCGAAGAAGACACAAAAUCACUAGUGGCUCAGAUCAUGCAGGCAGGAAACAAUGUCAGCAACAACAUCAUGGUGCUUGCCAUCGUAGGUGUCGGCGGGGUUGGCAAGACCACCCUUGUUGAGAAGGUCUUCAAUGAUAAGGCCAUCCAAGGUGACUUCAGCAAACAUAUAUGGUUGAGCAUUGACAAAAACUUCAGUGAGGUUGAGCUCUUGAGAAGAGCGGUUAUUGAAGCCGGAGGAGACCAUUGGCGGGCUGGAAAUACGAAGAACACGCUUCAUCAAACCCUGAAGGAUGCCUUGAUUGGCCACAAGACCUUACUAGUAAUGGAUGAUGUGUGGGACCAUGGAGCAUGGGAGGGUGUGCUCAAAGUUCCCUUCAAUGCUGCUGCUUCAGGCAGUCGAGUCCUAAUCACCACCAGAGAUGAAGGUGUUGCGCUGGGGAUGAUAGCCACAUGGCCCUACCACCAUGUCAACACAUUAGCGCCUGACGAGGCUUGGUUGUUGCUCAAGAAGCAGGUACUUUCAAGUGAUAUGGAUGAAAACCACACCAAUACGCUGAAGGAUAUCGGAUUGAAAAUUAUACAAAAAUUUGGUGGUUUACCACUUGCCAUUAAAUUAAUGGGAGGACUCUUGCGUCAAAGAGAGGGGUUGCGCUGUUACUGGGAGAAGGUUUUGGAUGAUUCUAAAUGGUCAAUAGCUGAAAUGCCUCGAGAGCUCAGUUAUGCAGUAUACUUGAGCUAUGAAGACAUGCCUUCUUAUCUAAGGCAGUGUUUUCUAUACUACUCUCUUCUUCCUAAGUGUAAAAAAUUUCAUGUGGGUGACGUAGUUGCCAUGUGGAUUAGUGAAGGAUUUAUUCAUGGCAGCUUGAAUGAUUUAGAAGAAUCUGGAAGAUAUUACUACAAUCAGCUGAUAUCUAGGAACCUAAUAGAGCCAGAUAAAUCUUAUUUUGAUCAAUCUUAUUGUAGCAUGCAUGAUGUUGUUCGCUCAUUUGCUCAGUAUGUGAUGAAAGAUGAAGCACUUAUAGUUCACAAUGAAGACAUCAAUAUUCUUGCUAAACUCAAUUCACAGAAGUUUCUUCGGUUGUCUAUAGAAACCAACAUGCUCCAAUCUGGUGAAAUUUAUUGGCAAUCUAUGCACAAGCAGCACGUGAGAACAUUAAUCUCAACUAUCCACAUCAAGAUGAAGCAUGGUGAUUCAUUGGCUAACGUUUCUUGUCUGCGGGUUCUACAUAUUGAAUCUACGGAUGUGGCCACAUUGGUUGAAUCGUUGCAUCAACUCAAGCACCUGAGGUAUCUGGCACUGAUAAAUACUGAUAUAUCUGUACUUCCAGGGAACAUUGGCAAUAUGAAAUUAUUGCAGUUCCUCAACCUUUGUGGAUGCACACAACUAGUGAAUCUACCUGAUAGCAUUGUCAACCUUGGCCAGCUGAGGUUACUUAGUAUUCCAAGCAUAAGGAUGAUACCUAGAGGCUUCUGCGGUCUGACAAGUAUGAGGAGACUACAUGGCUUUCGAGCCCACAUGGACGGUGAUUGGUGUAGUUUGGACGAGUUGGGUCCUCUUUCCCAACUCAAACUUCUUAAAGUAAUUCAACUGGAGAGUGUAUCUUCUGCUUCGUUUGCUGCUAAAGCUAGGCUUGGUGAAAAAAUACAUCUCAUCGACCUAUUCUUGCACUGCACCAGCAAAUUGGGAGAUUAUUGGUUUGGUAAAGAGUAUGAAGGCAUCUCUCAAGCAGAGUAG